GAGCUGGGAUGAGCUGGGCUGGGCUGAGCUGGGUUCAGCUGAACUGAGCUGAGCUGGGCUGAUUGAGCUGGGCUGGG
rnacentral:miRNA from 1 species